rnacentral:rRNA from 1 species
AGGCGACGACGGGUAGCCGGCCUGAGAGGGUGACCGGCCACACUGGGACUGAGACACGGCCCAGACUCCUACGGGAGGCAGCAGUGGGGAAUAUUGCACAAUGGGCGGAAGCCUGAUGCAGCGACGCCGCGUGAGGGAUGACGGCCUUCGGGUUGUAAACCUCUUUCAGUAGGGAAGAAGCGCAAGUGACGGUACCUGCAGAAGAAGCGCCGGCUAACUACGUGCCAGCAGCCGCGGUAAUACGUAGGGCGCAAGCGUUGUCCGGAAUUAUUGGGCGUAAAGAGCUCGUAGGCGGUCUGUCGCGUCUGCUGUGAAAGCCCGGGGCUCAACCCCGGGUCUGCAGUGGGUACGGGCAGACUAGAGUGCAGUAGGGGAGACUGGAAUUCCUGGUGUAGCGGUGAAAUGCGCAGAUAUCAGGAGGAACACCGAUGGCGAAGGCAGGUCUCUGGGCUGUUACUGACGCUGAGGAGCGAAAGCAUGGGGAGCGAACAGGAUUAGAUACCCUGGUAGUCCAUGCCGUAAACGUUGGGCACUAGGUGUGGGGGACAUUCCACGUUCUCCGCGCCGUAGCUAACGCAUUAAGUGCCCCGCCUGGGGAGUACGG